GACCGCUUAGCUCAGUUGGCCAGAGCGCUACGUUGACAUCGUAGAGGUCGGAGGUUCAAGUCCUCCAGCGGUCA
rnacentral:tRNA from 1 species